GCGCUCCUAGCUCAGCUGGAAGAGCAACUGGUUUACACCCAGUAGGUCGGCGGUUCGAGCCCGUCGGAGCGCACCG
rnacentral:tRNA from 2 species